UAACUUCCUGCAGGCUGGCCUGCCCCGGGCUGGGCUGGACGGUACCUCUUCAAAAGGCUCACCCUGAAGCACGACUAGGAGC
rnacentral:pre_miRNA from 1 species